UGGGGUCUGGUCUCCCUGUGCCCUCAGAGAUACUAAGAGGGUGAAGAAACAACUCUGAGGUUGGGAAACUCUCAGCACAGGAGGCCUUGGCGUGGCCCAGGAAAUUCAAGCCGCUUCAUCAAGCCCCCAGGUCAGCGUGGAGCAAGAGUAACAUGGCGCUGCCAAGUGAGAGAGAGAGAGAGAAAGAGAACAAGCAAGGGGAGCAGCAGAGGGAGAAGCAGGCUCCCUGCCUGAGCAGGGAGCUCAACGUGGGGCUCGAUCCCAGGACCCUGGGAUCAUGACCUGAGCCAAAGGCAGACACUUAACCGACUGCGCCACCCAGACACUGCUGAGGGACAAGUGUUGAUCGUCUGGAAAAUUCAGUUAUUUCUUUUGAUUUGGUCCGGCUCCUUGGAGGGUGGAGUAUGUGCUUCAGCAGCAGAGAGCAGGAAGAAGGCAGAGAGAGACAGUGAGAGAGGGAACACAAGCAGGCAGAGCGGGAGAGGAAGAAGCAGCUUCCCGCUGAGCAGGGAGCCCGAUGCGGGGCUCGAUCCCAGGACCCUGGGAUCAUGACCUGAGCCGAAGGCAGAUGCUUAAUGACUGAGCCACCCAGGCACCCCAGGUUAUUGUUUUAAAAGUAUGUUUUCUGUCAUUUCCAUGGGGCUGGGGCAGGAAGGGAUGAAAAAUGUGUAUUUAGCCCAUCUUCUUGAUCUAUUUCAACUCUUUUUUUAUGCAUAAAUGUGAUUUUUCUUAUUUUUCCCUUUGAAAGGAUUUUAUUAUAAAAAUAUCAAAAAUAUACAAAAGUAGGGAAAAUAGUACAGUGAAUCUCCAUGAACCAAUAUAACCAGAUUCACCGAUGAACAACUCAUGCCCUGUCUGUUUCUCACUACACACCACCCUCUCUGAUCUCUGAUUCUAUUCCCUGUCUGGGAAUUAUUUUGAGGCAAAUUCUAGACACCAUAUAAUUUAAUAUGUAAGUCUUUCACUGUGUAUCUAUAGCAGACAAGGACAUCCUUUUUAAAACCUAACCACAAUAUCAACAUUUCACCUACCAAAAAAAAUCAAUAAUAAUCCCAUAAUAUCAAAUAUUCAGUUUGUUUCACAUUUUUCCAACUGUCUUAUAAUAUUUUUCAAAAGUUUGCUUGAAUCAGAUUCCAAACAAGAUCCAAAACAUUGAGAUUAAUAUGUAAAAGAUUUUAUUUAUUUAUUUAAGAGAGAGAGGGAGAGUGAGAGGGAGAAGCAGACUCUCCACUGAGCAGAGAGCCUGAUGUGGGACUGGAUCACAGGACCCUGAGAUCAUGACCUGAGCCUAAGGCAGGCGUUUAACCAACUGAGCCAGCCAGGCGCCCUAAUUCUCAUCUUUAAAGCACAGUUUAUUUUUUUUCUUUUUAAAAUAUUUAAUUAAUUAAUUUAUUUAGAGUGUGAGUAGGGAGAAGGGGCUGAGGGAGAGGGAGAGAGAGAAUCUGGAGCAGACUCCACGCUGAGCAUGGAGCCACAUACGAAGCUCUAUCUCAUUACCCUGAGAUCAUGACCUGAGCCGAAAUUAAGAGUUGGACGCUCAACUGACUGAGCCAAUCAGGUGCCCCUAAAACACACUUUAAAAGACGGUUUUGUAAACAUUUCCAAGAGAAACUUUAAAAUAAAUCUGUUGGCCACUAAAAUUACUCACAAUAUUUUAAUGAUGUAAGGUAGUUAAAAAAAAACUUAGUUUGGGUUACAUUAACAUGAUAAGAAAACAAUAAUAUUAAUUCAUGUGACGGAAUGAGAAUGUUAACAGGAAGUUUUGUUAUGAAUAGCUUAGAGAUUUAAUUUUUCUCGUUACAGCACAUAUUCACCAGGCUGUGAACUCAUCCCAGUAAUUUCAGAUCCUCUAUCUGUUCAUAUGGUUGUAGGGACAAAAAGUUAAUUUGAGAAAUAGAUUCUUGAAGUUAAAUAAUUUAAAGAAUAGCUUUGAUAUUUUGGGAAGCAGAACUUCACAAAUUUUGUUACAUUUGGCUUUAAAAGAAGUACCUUAAGU